rnacentral:pre_miRNA from 1 species
AAUGAUGAUACUGUUGACUUUUUGUUGCACGUUUGACCAUUCGUCUUAUUCAAAAAAUGUACGUAAUUAUAAUUUAUUUUGUUACGAGUUGUUUUAUCACUCAAAAUACUUUAAGCAUGAUUUAUAUCUGGCAUUUGCAAAAAAAAAUUGAAUGAGACGAAUGGUCAAAUGUGCGACAAAAAGUCAACGGCGUCAUCUAUU